UCCAGACUCCUACGGGAGGCAGCAGUGAGGAAUAUUGGUCAAUGGCCGAGAGGCUGAACCAGCCAAGUCGCGUGAGGGAAGACGGCCCUACGGGUUGUAAACCUCUUUUGUCGGGGAGCAAAGCGAACCACGUGUGGUUCAUUGAGAGUACCCGAAGAAAAAGCAUCGGCUAACUCCGUGCCAGCAGCCGCGGUAAUACGGAGGAUGCGAGCGUUAUCCGGAUUUAUUGGGUUUAAAGGGUGCGCAGGCGGAGGUGCAAGUCAGCGGUCAAAUUGCGGGGCUCAACCCCGGGGCUGCCGUUGAAACCGGAGCGCUAGAAUUCCGAUGCCGUCGGAGGAAUGUGUGGUGUAGCGGUGAAAUGCAUAGAUAUCACACAGAACACCGAUUGCGAAGGCAUCUGACGAAUCGGAGAUUGACGCUGAUGCACGAAAGCGUGGGUAUCGAACAGGAUUAGAUACCCGAGUA
rnacentral:rRNA from 1 species